rnacentral:misc_RNA from 1 species
GGUAUAGUGAAUUCUGCUUUCAGAACCUUUUGAUCUUGUUCAUUUGCCUUCUCUCGUCAAUAAACAAGUGUUAAUCAAAAUUCUACAUAGCUUGGAAGUAACUAAUUCCAACCACAAUUUCAUUAUUAAAUUCUGUAAAUUAUUUAUUGUUGAAAUUUAGGAAUUACUAACCGUCUAACCUAGACUCUAUAUCCUCCCCGCCCCAAUUACUUGCUUCCAGAUUAUAACAUGAGGUUUCUACUAAGUAAUACCUUAUUUGCCAUGUAAUUAAAAGCCGCUUUAAAUUAA